AUUCGUGUAAUUAUUUAUAAAGGUUUUAAUUUUUAACGUGAGUAUAUUUAGCAGAAAACCAUUAAAAAAAGCAAAAUACGAGAGAUCUAAACUCGAGGAAUGAUUCAUACUUCGCGCGCUCCAAGAGUCACGUGAUCUGGCCUUGAUACGCGACUGGAGAGGAACUCCUUUGCUUUGCAAAGUUGAUUUGAGAUACAAAAUAAAAAUGGUGGUUACGGAUCUCUACGUUGGCUAAAUUCCUAACGAAAAUCACCGAAACCCUCGCGGUUGUGAAGAAAUCGCCAGAAUUAGUGAGAAAAUAUGUAGUGCAAAGUGUCAUUAGGUACGUAAAUAUAAUCGAAAAGUGUGUAUGAAGACGUGUUAUGGGCGGAUUUCGAGACCAUUUGGAUUGUUUAUUAUGUUUGGCAUUGCGCGGAAUUGUGUGGUAAAUUAGAUAAAUUAAUUAUUUGAAUUAGUCCAUUGACGUUGAACGGUUCGUCUGCUCCAAACUCAUUAAAUACUACAGUACAGUGUCCCGGUAAGAAAUGAAGGAUAGAUGCAACAUGUGACCCUGUUUGACAUUUGUGCAUUCAUCAUCCCCCUUGACGUUCAUUUGUUUUAACCAAAUGUAGUCUGAUCGGUCGAUAAGGGGUCUUUAUUGGUUUUGGAAAAAAAGUGAUACAUAAAAGUGGCAGGAAAUAUGAUUAAUCGAUACGAGAAACCUGUUGGAAAGUAGAGAAUGUGUCCUCAUAGAAGCAUGAUGAGUGGUAAACCCAUAACCAAACUGAAAUAUUUCACAAUAGACUGAAAAUUUCCCUGACGACAUGUGUAAUAUUUGCCAAACUUCUUCACCAAAAGUUCCAAGUCAAAGAUCAUGAUGCAUAGCACAGAAAAUAAUAGAUACAUCGUUCAGGUGUAUGUAGGAGCUCUAUCAGCUCUCUAUGAGGCACUGUCAGUUGAAGCUAGCAAGCAAACAACAUCAGAAGAGAUAGUUUCUUGUAUAGUUGAGAGGCUAUCUUUAAAUGACAAUGCUUCCUAUGAGUUAGCUGAGGUAAUAGGAGAUGAUUUUGGCCAGGAGUGUAAGGAGAGGAGCUUGUCUGCUCAUGAAAGUCCAGUGCAACUUAUGAUGCUGUGGCCAAAACACAGACCAGAUCAUUCCUCUUAUAGAUUUUAUUUAAGGGAGAAGGUGAAUGAUUAUGUGUGGAGAGACCAGUUUGUGAUGGACCCCCAACUUAUUAAAGACUACUUCCAUAGGUUCCUUUAUCAGCCGAAAGAUAGAGAAUAUCCAGAUCUAUGCCAACUGCCUGAUCUUAAUGAACAAACCUUAUUGGAUAACCUCAGAGCUAGAUUCGUAGCUGGACAUAUUUAUACUUAUGUAGGAUCUAUCUUAAUAGCAUUAAAUCCGUUUAAAUUUUAUCCCAUUUACAAUCCGAAGUAUGUGAAACUGUAUCAAAACAGAAGAUUAGGACCUAAUUUACCUCCUCACAUAUUCGCAGUGGCUGAUACUGCUUAUCACUGCAUGUUAAAAGACAGAAAAAAUCAGUGCAUAGUUAUUAGUGGAGAAAGUGGUUCGGGAAAGACUGAAAGUACUAAUUUUUUAUUGCAUCACUUGACAGCAUUAAGCCAGAAGGGAUCGCACGGUAGUGGAGUGGAACAGACUAUACUUAGUGCCGGGCCUGUGUUAGAAGCUUUUGGGAAUGCUAAGACUGCUCAUAAUAACAAUUCGAGUCGAUUUGGAAAGUUCAUUCAAGUCAACUACAAGGAAAAUGGCAUGGUCCACGGCGCUGUGGUUCAGAAGUACCUUCUGGAAAAAUCUAGGAUAUGCUCGCAAGGACGAUACGAAAGGAACUACCACGUGUUUUAUUAUUUAUUAGAAGGCGCAAAUGAACAAGAAAAGCAACAGCUCCACCUCAAACGUCCCGACCAAUACUAUUACCUCAACAAAUCGUGCAGUGCCUUGGAUAAUACGGACGAAAGCUACGAAUUUUCCAGAUUAAAGCAGUCCAUGGAAAUGGUGGGUUUUACCACUGAAAAACAAAGGAGGCUUUUCUCGGUACUAUCGGCCGUGUUGUUGCUCGGCAAUGUUGAGUUUCAACCAAGAAAAUCGGCGUACCACCAUGACGAGGCGGUUGGUGUCAAGAAUCCGGAGGUUGUAGCUUUAAUAUCGGAGUUGCUCAGAGUUAAACAAGAAACCCUAAUGCAAGCAUUAACCGCCAAACGAGCCCGUGCCUCAGGGGAAACCCUCGUGAUCAACUACCGGCUCCCCGAAGCCAUCGCCUCUCGAGACGCAAUGGCUAAAUGCCUCUACGGCGCGCUCUUUGACUGGAUCGUUCUCCAAGUCAACCACGCUCUCUUAGCCAAGAAGGACACUCUUCGGGAACACCAGGGUAACUCGAUAGGCGUCUUGGACAUUUUCGGGUUCGAGGAUUUUGGACUGAACAAUAGUUUUGAACAAUUGUGCAUAAACUACGCCAACGAACAUCUUCAGUAUUACUUCAAUCAGCACGUUUUCAAGUAUGAGCAGGAAGAGUAUAGGAAAGAGUGUAUUAGGUGGACGAAUAUAGAGUUUAUGGACAAUACAGGGUGUUUGCAGUUGAUAGAAGGCAAACCAAAUGGGCUAAUUUUUCUGUUGGACGAUCAGUGCAACUUUCCUGGAGCGACGAACGAAACUUUACUCCAAAAGUUUAACACCGUUCACAAAGAGAACAAAUUCUACCAGAAACCGCAGAAGAAAGAGGGCGCCUUCAUAAUAGUCCACUACGCGGGAAAAGUGAAGUACCAAGUGAUGGACAUGCGGGAGAAGAACCUCGACCUGAUGCGACAAGAUAUCGUAGGAGUUCUAAAAAACAGUUCCAUGGCCUUUGUCCGAGAACUGGUAGGGGCCGAUCCCGUUGCAGUGUUUAGGUGGGCUAUUGUCAGAGCCUUUUUUAGAGCCUAUUUUGCCUUUCACGAAGCGGGAAGGAAGCACAGGCAAGGGAGAGUGGACGGGAAUAAAAAUAACAUCCAGCAGAGGUAUUCGAGGAAUCAUAUACCGAAUGAAAAUCUCAUCAGUAAACAACGAAACACCAUCUCAUUUAAUCGACUGGGUAGAAACUUAGACAACGAAUCAUCGAACAACCGACUCUCUUGGCCGCAGUUGUACCAACGAAACAGACACAGCCCUAGCAGCAACAAAAACAAUGACGACGACAGAAGAAGAAAGGAUUCGUUGACGGGGAGUCCCAGCUCUUCUGUGGGACUAGAAAGGUUGGCUCCCGACGACGCUAGAGCUAUACAGCGGGCGAAUCAGAUUGUUAUGAAGAACAAAUCAUUCCGGCCGCGCGAACGCAGCAAGAAGGGACUGAAGAACCUCCAAACGGUCAAAACGUUGGUGGGUAGAACCGGCAUCACUGCUCAACCUCAAGGCCAGUUAGGGAAGGCGAGGAAACAACCGAUGACGGUUACAGCUCAAUUUCAACAAAGCCUCCAUUCGCUCAUGGAUACGCUCAAUCAAGCGAAUCCCUUUUUUAUUAGGUGUAUCAAAUCAAAUGGCAAUAAAAUUCCUAACACAUUCGACGAACAAACAGUACAAAGACAACUACGCUACACCGGUAUGCUCGAAACCGUUCGUAUCCGACAAGCCGGCUUUAAUGUUCGUUUGACCUACGAUGAAUUCAUCCAGCUCUAUAGGAUUCUCCUUCCCAAAGGUCUUUUGAGCUCUCAACACGACGUACGGGACUUCCUGGCUACUCUUAACCUCGAUAGGGAUAAUUAUCAGUUGGGAAGCACGAAGGUUUUUAUGAGAGAGAGUGAGAAGUAUAAACUGGAUUGCAAACUACAUCAACAAAUUAUGGCUAGUAUAGUGACGUUACAACGAUGGUUUAGAGCACGUUUGGAGAGAAGACGGUUUUUGAGGAUUAAGACUGCUGUGAUAACUCUUCAGUCGUACUGCAGGAUGUUCUUGGUUCAAAAAUAUAUUAGAAGACUUCAAGCAACACUGAAGAUACAAAAACAUUGGAGAGGUUACAAAUCUAGAAGUUGGUUACAAAAGUUAAAGACAACACUAGUUAUAUUUCAAGCUCAUUGUAGAGGUUGUAAAGUACGGAAAAUGAUAUGUGAAAUGAAGAUGAAAGGGGGCAUACCGCCAAGGAGAACUCAGAUUGUUAGUGCACUUCCUGCUCACCUCCAAAUAAAACAUGGAAGCUCAGAUGAGGCAUUCAUUAGUAAAGAUUCUAGUCUUGAAGAAGUACGUACAGAUCAAAUCGAUAGAAAACUGUUGGAUUCUGAUGAGAGCAGUGGUAUACCUGAGGACGACAUUGAUACUACUUCGCACGGAAAAAUAAGUUUAAGGUCGACCGUUUCACUACCGAGCGUGUCAACUCAACAACCUGCUUAUUAUCAUCAUUAUCUCAAUAACUCGGGAAAUUACAGGUAUGAAGACUUAAAACCGGAAAAGAUAACUUUAGACGUGAUACGAAAGAAGACUCCCAAAUCGCACCAAACUAUCGAUUAUUCUGAUUUGGAUUACACUCCUCAACGGAAAGGCAGUGGAGAUUCGUUAAGUUCCCAAAGGAGCCUGGAGUCCCAGCAGAGUUCUGAUUCUCAUUCAAGCGUAACAGUCCGAGAACUUCACAAACAGGAACAACCUCUACUGGACAAACAAUGGUCAUCUACCAGCACAACCAGUGAUCCUUACUCGGAGAGCAGAGUCACACACUCAGCACCGCCUAUAAUCAGAGAUCGAUCUAUGUGGGACAAAGAACCUGUUACACGAGACUAUUACGUCAAAACACCUUUGACGAGAACUGAAGCUGUUAAUUGCUGGGUGCCACCGACUGUGGUUAGGAAAGACAUAAGGCAUAGUGAUUCGAAACACCUAAGAAGCUAUCAACCAGUACGUAGGCCGAACAGGGAAAAAUUUUUGCCCGAUGAUCGACCUGAUGCCUAUCCCUACGUGCAAACGCCUAACAAGCUGGAGCAGAUCCUGGGACGACCGGAGGCGCCUGCUAGAAAUACGAGAAAGUCGAAAAGAGGGCACGUUAAGAGUUUGGGAGAGGAGGUUACAGAUAGCCUUAGUUUAGAUAAGAACGUCUUUUUGGGGACCAUAGACGAAUCUAAAGUGCAUCCUGAGUUUAUUAUACAAGAGAGAAAUUCGACAGACGGUGGAACCAAACAAAGCCUAACGCCGAAACGCCAACGCCAAAAUCUGCCGCAACUCGACCUGAGGCGAAGAAACAGCGAUCCGGCUACGAAAAUCGCCGUCAUUUCUGAUCAUCCCGGCGGCCUGGACGCUAGUCCGUCUAUCAAAACGAAUGAUUACAAGUACGACGUGAAUGCCCUCUCUAUUGCCGGUCACUCCUUCAGGAAAAUACCUAGAAUAUCCAAGGAUGAUCUGUGUAUGUUCUGUAACACCGAGCUAGAUGCCUUCUACACACCAGGAUACAAAUGCACGAAUUGCAAGAAACAGUUUCACACUAAGUGUAUUCAAAACAAGGUUUUCGAAAUGCCCUGCGAACGCAACGCCCCCAACGCUGAAAUCCGAUCCGGACGGCGAAAACACCGGAAACACUCCCGAACGCCCUACGAUCUACGCAAACCAGACGAGAGUAAGUUCAGUCUGACGGGAACGUCCGAGUUUAUGGACAGAACUGAUAAAAUCAUAACCGGAGCCGAAGAACUCACUCUCAUGCAGCAGUUCAUCACCGACAAAAUCAUGAAGAUGGAGUCUGUGGGAGGAAAGAACAGUGAUGUCGACAAACUGUUUAAACAGGCUUUAAGGGAGUUCAAGGACAAUCUGGUGCAGAUUUAUAGCAAUGCAACGAAGCAUAAUAGUUUGGAGACGUGCAAUAUUAAGUACAAGGAUCUCAUUCUCGUUUUUAAUCAAGCGAUGCAAACGGUUUGCCAGCGCGAACAAAAAUCCAACGAUGCGGCGGACUUCCCCGUAACGAUGGGCGUCAAUGCGUUCCGAGGCUUCAUGGACGAAUUCAUGUCAUCUCGAGCCGAAGAAAAGCCUUCGAAAUCCAAAAGGAAAAAAGAGAAAAAGCGAAAAUUGGAGAUGCACAAGCACAACGGCCAUACCUUCCUAUUAACCAUCAUCAAUAUUCCUACUGCGUGCGAAAUCUGUAGUUCGUUCUUCAUGUGGCCCAUAGAACGCGGUUUAGUAUGUCAAAGUUGUAAGAUGACGUGCCACAAAAAGUGCUACCUUAACGCGAACCAGUGUUUGAAAGAAGCGGGAUUACAAGGUGAAACGAAGAAGGUUUUCGGAGUGCCUCUGGUUACGUUAGUCACGGAGGAUAGUAAGAUACCUUUGGUUAUCGAGAGAUUGCUUAGUACGAUCGAAUUGCAUGGGUUAUAUGCGGAAGGAAUUUAUAGGAAAUCCGGUGUUAGUUCCAAGAUUAAAGAAUUAAAAAAUAGAAUGGAUGAGAAUCCAGAGGAAGUUGAGUUCGAGAGGUAUCAGGUCCACGUGCUGGCAUCAGUUCUUAAGAGUUUCCUCCGAGAAAUGCCGGAACCGCUUCUGACGUUCGAAUGCUACGAGAAUUUCAUCACCGCAGCCAAUUUGGAUGUGGAAAGUGAUCGGGUGACCACCCUGUACGACAUCUUGAAGAAGCUGCCUCCUCCAAACUACGAUCUGAUGGAAAGGUUGAUGUUCCACUUGGCCAGAGUGGCUCUCCACGAGGAGACGAACAGGAUGAGUGCCGCUUCGUUAGCGAUAGUGUUUGCACCGUGUGUGUUAAGGACUAAUAAAGUGGUUCCUGCGCAAGAGAGUCUCAUCGAUAUCAGCAGUCAGACGCAGUGUAUUGAGACCAUCAUCAGAGUGCAACUGAGGAAAAUAAGAAGCACAUUAGAUGACAUCGAUACUUUAGAUACAGCGUGUCAAGCUGCGACGAAUAGACUCUCUAGCUUAAGAAGUUCCAAAGUAUUCACUCCCGACGAGCUUCUGCCUGCUAAUCAGCCUUCUCAACAGCCUACUGAUGAGGAAGAACACUUAUUGGAGGACCACAUACAGGAAAUCCAAAAAGAAAAGGAACAUCUUACAUCAACUCUUCCAACGCUCACUCACGCCACCUCUGACGAUGACAUGCUGUCAACAGAUGGCGACGGUAGUUUAGACGACCUCACGUGCUUAGCCGACAAACGUCACAAUCAACGGCCGAUCGUGCGCUCGAUCAGCACGGGCCCGAUUCCGAAGCUACGUCGGCAACUUUCGACAGACGCGAAAUGUUCCGAAGACUGUCCAGACGAUCCUAUUAUGGUGUAAAAAGAUUAGUUGUGUCUGUCUGUGGUUUCUGUUGAUUUAGAUUUACUUUUGUACAUAGAUUACCUAAUCGGGACUUUUAAUGUUGGAAUUGGUGAGACCGCAAACGAAAGUAGAUAAAUUGAGGUUAUGUUAGAUUAGAAGAUUGUGAUAGAUAUUACAACGGUGCAUUUUUAGUGUUUUAUAUUGUGAUAUAGGUUUGGAAAGAAACAAUCUCGAAGUUUGUAGAAAAUAAGUUUAUGGUAGGUAUGACAAUCAAUGAUCAACAUCUGCACGUGGAGAAAUAAUUCUAUGAUUAUACAGUGUAGAUUGAAACAUGUAUUUUACAUGAACAUUUUUAUUUUUCAAUGUGUAUUUCAAAACAGAAACACUUGAAAUUUUUACAAUGGAAUGUACAUUUUGUUAGUCCUAAAAGUAAGAAAAUAAAUGUUUUAUUAAUACAAAAAUUGAAAUACAAUAUGUAUUUAGCA
rnacentral:misc_RNA from 1 species